rnacentral:lncRNA from 1 species
GCAGGAAAUGCCGGCUGUUAAGUGUUAUUUUCGCCGAUCCCCCCGGCAACUGUUGACAAGUGCAGCUGAGUUCCCCAUCACAGAGUCCCUAUCUGACUUUGGCAUCGAUGAUUCGGAGUUGACCUACAUCGGGGAUCUUCCUCUAGAAGAGACUGACAUUGAGUUUGCCCCGUACCAGUAUGACUCAGUUUCCCUUGCUGGCAUCGAGGAGUUGGAUCCUCUCGUGGAUUUGACAGACAUCGGAUGAGAAUAAAUGGACAUUUUGGCUUAGAUAGCAUGCAUGCCCUUCUAUCAAGAGCAGGGAAGAUUCUGUCUCUGGCAGGGAGCCCAAGGAUAUCGAGUCGAGCUGCUCAGCCAUGCAUGGUUUUGGUUGCAAGCUUGGUCAUGAUUGGCAGGAGCGGUGCUGUCGGCGUGGCCACGUGAAUCCUGAUGAGUUUUGGAGCAUGGCGUUUGCUGCUGCACUAAUGGAGGCAUUGGGGGUACUCUCUAUACAUGUAUGUAUAUUGUUAGUCUAGGAUCCUAGGAUGUAGAAGUGAGCCUCCCUCCCUCCCUCCCUCAUCUGUGUUGAGAGAUCGAUCUUGUAACUUCACCAUACAUGUAAAUUUUGCUUAGCAGAUGCCAGCAGGGACGGAAAAGAGGAGGCCCUCGUCGUAGCCCUGCUGUGAUUUCUUGAUUGUUGCUCCCUCGGCCGUCUAAUCUAUUCCUGUCAUUUUUCCUACCGGGCAUUAGAAAAUUAACAGACGUGUACCCCCCCGUUGUGAAACAGAUACUUGGGAUCGAUUGCUCUUUUGAGAGAAUUCGGCGCUGAGAUUCUUGUGGAUGAUUGAUUCUCCCCUUUUGUAUUGAUCCUGAAGUUUGUAGGAGGAAUAAUUUGCCUUGGGCGGAUUCUGUGUGUGCUUCAUUUAUGUCCUAAUUGGUAAUCUUCUGUAGCAGGAAUAAUGUUUGAAUUGUUUUUUCUAGUGCUGCUAGUUUCGGAUUUGUGACAAAUUUGACAGUUGCAAGAACUAGAGAUAUAUGGUAAACAUUUUGGGUAUGUUAUGUGGGGGUUAAGGACUAGAACUGGAGCAUCAGCAAUGUGUAAGAGAUUUGCAACAUUAUACCUCUAACAAAAUAUAAGACGUUUUUGCAGUUCAAAUUGAAGUGCAAAACGUCUUGUAUUUUCGUACGGAGGAUGUAUCAUCUUUGAAUCUUUGACGUGUAUUCAGAUUACUGUGGGAGUUUCUUGCCUGCUAUCCGUGUACAUUUCUUGGUUUUGACCUGCAAGUCAAGGCGCAAAAUAUUUAAAGCCUUGAGUUGUUCCGUUCAUUUUUUGUGUAUGUAUACAAAUUCAAAACUCCUGCUAUAUGGCAUGGCCAGAGAAGUGCUCCUGGUAGUGUUAUUCUCGUUCUUUUUUGAGUUGGUCAGAAACCUGCUAUAUGGCAUGGCCAGAGAAGUGCUCCUGGUAGUGUUAUUCUCGUUCUUUUUUGAGUUGGUCAGAAACCG